rnacentral:rRNA from 1 species
GACGAACGCUGGCGGCGUGCUUAACACAUGCAAGUCGAACGGACAGGCCCUGCUUUUGUGGGGUGCUCGAGUGGCGAACGGGUGAGUAACACGUGAGUAACCUGCCCUUGACUUUGGGAUAACUUCAGGAAACUGGGGCUAAUACCGGCUAGGAGCUCCUGCUGCUUGGUGGGGGUUGGAAAGUUUCGGCGGUUUGGGAUGGACUCGCGGUUGAUCAGCUUGUUGGUGGGGUAUUGGCUUACCAAGGCCUUGACGGGUAGCCGGCCUGAGAGGGUGACCGGCCACAUUGGGACUGCGAUACGGCGCAGACUCCUACGGGAGGCAGCAGUGGGAAAUAUUGCACAAUGGGCGGAAGCCUGAUGCAGCAAUGCCGCGUGCGGGAUGACGGCCUUCGAGUUGUAAACCGCUUUCGCAGGUGACGAAGCGUGAGUGACGGUAAUGGGUAAAGAAGCACCGGCUAACUACGUG